CUUCACCUUGUUUUCCCCUGUGUUGUAUUAGUUUCUCUAAGCAGUUAGAUACUUUGUAUAAUAUUAUAUCGGUUUCUGAGAGCUCAUUUAUAAUGUAUUAAGUUGGUUAUAUGAAACAUUCUUUUUCAACUGUUUUGGCAUAUUUAUUUCUGUUAUGCAUAUGUUUUUUCGUUUGAUUGAGUCAUCUUUGUCUGUAUUAUGAUGGCCUUAAAUUAUUCUGGAACUUAAUACCUACUUAUUAUUCUUAUGUUGACUUUCAAAGGCAAUACUGGCAUGGUACUGUGGUUGUGCAAUACUUGUUGCACACAUCGUCUAUAUUUUGUCCAACUUGAUAGUCAUUUUGCUUCUUAACCUGCAGGAUACAAUUGUACCUAGGAUUUGGAGGUGUUCUUUUGAGUGCUGCUUAUUUCGUUUAUACGAGCAUGUCAACAUCAGGUGUUAGAAAAUCGAAUGAAAACUGGGAGAUACUUGGUGCAUCUGCCUUGCCAUUGGUUACCCUUCUGGGCCUAACUUCCGUUUGCCUAUUCACCUGGGCUUUGUGGCCGAUUUGGAGCUUCUUGACCCUACCUCUUGUGGCUAUAGCUCUUUCUUUAAAAGAUGUUGUUGAAACCUCAGACAUAAAUCAUGCUGGAUUACCUCAAAGCCCAAGCAAGCAAACAGCUAAUGCUAAUGAAAAGAGCUACGAUCACUCACGGGAAGAUAAUUUGAGAAGGAGUACAGGAAUUCCAAACUCACACAUCUGCUGCAUGACUCAUUAGGAGGUGAUUUUAAGACAAUAUUGUUUGUACAAAUUUGCCCAUCAGAGCAUGACUUGGGUGAGUCUUUGAGCUCACUGAAGAACUUGCCCCAGCAAAAAGGCAGAUUGAUACAAGUGAGCUUCAACACUCCCAACUGUGCCCUCAACACAAUGCACCAGCUUCAUAAAUCGAGGCAAGGAUCCAAAUCCAAAGAGGAAUUCAUAAGAAAGCUAGAAUCAAAUUAAUGGAUGGACAAUACUGUAGUCCAUCUGAUCCAGCCUAUGACCAAGUACUUGAUCCCCUUGCUAUGGUGGCUCAACAUACACCCAAUACCUCUUCUGGAAGCUCUUCAUGGGUGGAGAGAGAGACUUGUUCUGUUCUUGCAAGAGCUAUGCAAGCUGGGUGAGAAACGCCUCAAGGAAACUGGAGCUAAAUUUAAAGUUGAUUUCUAAGGCUUAUGAUAUCUUGUGGAGAUGACUACUGAAAAAAAUGUGGAUGGUGGGAAUGAAAUUUCCGCUAACUAUGAUGAGCGGCUCACACCAGCUGAGAGACGAUACCUAGAGCAGUGGAAGCAACUUGAAGUAAGACGGCUGCUCAAGACUGUCAAGAGUGCUAAUGAAUCACAUCGCGUUCGUGUUCCAAAGAAAAUAACCUGGCGAAUUUGAGUUUCUAUGUGCUGAUGAGUUUGUUGCAUCCUCAUGAAACUUGUCGUUGAUACUUACCUGUUUUUUUUUCUUAAAAGGUCUGUUUGGUGCAACCAAAAUCAGAAAUUGAUCUCCAGUUUGAAUCGACGAGUAGGAAAUAAAGACUAUUGGAUAUAUUUUCACACAUUACAGUGAUCACAUAUGUUCUUGAACUCAGAUUUGUACGAUUUUGGUCUUAUAUUAUACUCUGUAUUAAUAAUAUAUGAUACUAUGUAUCAUCGUAAGGGUUUUGUUCA